AUAUUUCUGCCUCUCCUUCUUGCUUUUGUGAGGUUGAACCCUGCCUCAUCAAUAUAUAUGAAUUCAUGCAGGAUUUCCUCAGAAUCCAUCUACAAAACUCCCUGAAACACAGUGAAAGACAAGAUUGUGUAGUUCAGGAUAGGUCUAGUAUACACUGCGCGCAAAAUUAUUAGGCAAAUUGUAUUACUCGGGAUUAAUUUUAUUGUUGAACAAACACAAUGCUCUCAGUCAAUCCAAAAUGUUAUUGAACCUCAAACCUGAAUGUUUAACAAAGGAAAAGUUUUUCAGUAACAUUCACGCUGAUAGACCCAGUUCCCCAGAGUUUCAGGGCAUCCUACCAUGGGUUUGGACUUGUGUCUUUUGGCCAGAGACUUUGCAACAUCACCUGCACAACAGUGUCCUUCUUCUUGGAAUAGGGAGGACUCUGGGUAACAACCCAUAGGCUACCCAGGCUCGGCCAGAGAGGGAACAAUGGCUAACUAGUCCAAACAGUCUAGUCCAACUAGCAUACGCACACAAGCGCUAGCACACGCACUCUACACACAUGUACAUUGUAAUAUUGUUGUAUGGUGGUAUUAUACAUUUUGUGUUGUAGAUAUGUAGUGGUGUAAUAAUAUUAUGUGAUGUACUGUUUUAUAUUUUUGUUUUAUAUGUAAUGUAAGUGUCUUAAUGUGUUCGGACCCCAGGAAAAGUAGCUGCUGCCUUUAUUAGGGGAUCCCUAAUAAAUACAAAUACAAAUACAGCUGCUCCAGGCUGCAAUUAGAUACAUGCUCCACAGAGCCAUCCUUCCAUAAUUGAUGCUGUUUCUAGGAUAUCACUAGCAAGCAAUACCUUUGCACAGUAUGGUGACUGGUAUAGUAUGAAGUGACUUUAAAUAUCCCCUUUCCUUGAUUUGGUAUACUACGAAAGCAAUUGUUGUUCAUAUCUGUUUAUAAGCAUUAAAUUAAUCUGACUGUGAGAUUGAAUUAACUAUGAAGGGGCAUAUAGAUUUUUCAAGCACCCAACAUUUAUGCUUAAAUUUUCCUUAGUUUGAAAUCACACAGUUAAAAAUAAAGAAUCUGUGCAGAAAGGGCUGUGAAAGCUGUAGUUU
rnacentral:lncRNA from 1 species